UCUCUGUCUUCUCUGCACUGGGGAGCAGCUCUCCUGCCACAGUCCCUCAUUCAGAUGUACGCCUGCUCCACGUUUGUCUCUACCCCCUCCUUGGUCAAGAGUACCUCUCAGCUGCUAAGCCAACCACUGACGGCAGUGGUGCUGAACCGACCAGAGACACUACCAGAUGAGAGCCUCAGCAGCUUGGCAGUCUCGCAUCCCCUUACCUCACUUGUCCCUAGCCGCAGCUUCCAAACCAGCACCAUUUCAAGGGACAUGGACACAGCAACCAAGUUCAUUGGGGCUGAGGCUGCCACAGUUGGGGUGGCUGGCUCUGGGGCUGGGAUUGGGGCUGUGUUUGGGAGCCUCAUCAUUGGUUAUGCCAGGAACUCUUCUCUGAACAACAGCUCUUCUUCUACACCAUUCUGGGCUUUGCCCUCUUGGGGCUCUUUUGCCUGAUGGUAACCUUUCUCAUCCUCUUUGCCAUGUGAAGGAGCUGUCUCCAUAUCCCAUCGUUCUUUCUCCCACGUCUUGUCUGCCCUGUGUGUCCUUUUUUCUGUAGCUCCCCAGGCAGCCUGGGGAAACUGGUUGGCUUAGGGUUUGACAGAGGGAAGAUAAAUAAAUACUGUAUUAAUAAGAAAAAAAAA